UAAGGGCGCACGGUGGAUGCCUUGGCACUAGAAGCCGAUGAAGGACGUUACUAACGACGAUAUGCUUUGGGGAGCUGUAAGUAAGCUUUGAUCCAGAGAUUUCCGAAUGGGGAAACCCAGCAUGAGUUAUGUCAUGUUAUCGAUAUGUGAAUACAUAGCAUAUCAGAAGGCACACCCGGAGAACUGAAACAUCUUAGUACCCGGAGGAAGAGAAAGAAAAUUCGAUUCCCUUAGUAGCGGCGAGCGAAACGGGAAGAGCCCAAACCAACAAGCUUGCUUGUUGGGGUUGUAGGACACUCUAUACGGAGUUACAAAGGACGACAUUAGACGAAUCAUCUGGAAAGAUGAAUCAAAGAAGGUAAUAAUCCUGUAGUCGAAAAUGUUGUCUCUCUUGAGUGGAUCCUGAGUACGACGGAGCACGUGAAAUUCCGUCGGAAUCUGGGAGGACCAUCUCCUAAGGCUAAAUACUCUCUAGUGACCGAUAGUGAACCAGUACCGUGAGGGAAAGGUGAAAAGCACCCCGGAAGGGGAGUGAAAUAGAACCUGAAACCGUGUGCUUACAAGUAGUCAGAGCCCGUUAAUGGGUGAUGGCGUGCCUUUUGUAGAAUGAACCGGCGAGUUACGAUUUGAUGCAAGGUUAAGCAGUAAAUGUGGAGCCGUAGCGAAAGCGAGUCUGAAUAGGGCGUUUAGUAUUUGGUCGUAGACCCGAAACCAGGUGAUCUACCCUUGGUCAGGUUGAAGUUCAGGUAACACUGAAUGGAGGACCGAACCGACUUACGUUGAAAAGUGAGCGGAUGAACUGAGGGUAGCGGAGAAAUUCCAAUCGAACCUGGAGAUAGCUGGUUCUCUCCGAAAUAGCUUUAGGGCUAGCCUCAAGUGAUGAUUAUUGGAGGUAGAGCACUGUUUGGACGAGGGGCCCCUCUCGGGUUACCGAAUUCAGACAAACUCCGAAUGCCAAUUAAUUUAACUUGGGAGUCAGAACAUGGGUGAUAAGGUCCGUGUUCGAAAGGGAAACAGCCCAGACCACCAGCUAAGGUCCCAAAAUAUAUGUUAAGUGGAAAAGGAUGUGGCGUUGCCCAGACAACUAGGAUGUUGGCUUAGAAGCAGCCAUCAUUUAAAGAGUGCGUAAUAGCUCACUAGUCGAGUGACACUGCGCCGAAAAUGUACCGGGGCUAAACAUAUUACCGAAGCUGUGGAUUGUCCUUUGGACAAUGGUAGGAGAGCGUUCUAAGGGCGUUGAAGCAUGAUCGUAAGGACAUGUGGAGCGCUUAGAAGUGAGAAUGCCGGUGUGAGUAGCGAAAGACGGGUGAGAAUCCCGUCCACCGAUUGACUAAGGUUUCCAGAGGAAGGCUCGUCCGCUCUGGGUUAGUCGGGUCCUAAGCUGAGGCCGACAGGCGUAGGCGAUGGAUAACAGGUUGAUAUUCCUGUACCACCUAUAAUCGUUUUAAUCGAUGGGGGGACGCAGUAGGAUAGGCGAAGCGUGCGAUUGGAUUGCACGUCUAAGCAGUAAGGCUGAGUAUUAGGCAAAUCCGGUACUCAUUAAGGCUGAGCUGUGAUGGGGAGAAGACAUUGUGUCUUCGAGUCGUUGAUUUCACACUGCCGAGAAAAGCCUCUAGAUAGAAAAUAGGUGCCCGUACCGCAAACCGACACAGGUAGUCAAGAUGAGAAUUCUAAGGUGAGCGAGCGAACUCUCGUUAAGGAACUCGGCAAAAUGACCCCGUAACUUCGGGAGAAGGGGUGCUCUUUAGGGUUAACGCCCAGAAGAGCCGCAGUGAAUAGGCCCAAGCGACUGUUUAUCAAAAACACAGGUCUCUGCUAAACCGUAAGGUGAUGUAUAGGGGCUGACGCCUGCCCGGUGCUGGAAGGUUAAGAGGAGUGGUUAGCUUCUGCGAAGCUACGAAUCGAAGCCCCAGUAAACGGCGGCCGUAACUAUAACGGUCCUAAGGUAGCGAAAUUCCUUGUCGGGUAAGUUCCGACCCGCACGAAAGGCGUAACGAUUUGGGCACUGUCUCAACGAGAGACUCGGUGAAAUCAUAGUACCUGUGAAGAUGCAGGUUACCCGCGACAGGACGGAAAGACCCCGUGGAGCUUUACUGUAGCCUGAUAUUGAAAUUCGGCACAGCUUGUACAGGAUAGGUAGGAGCCUUUGAAACGUGAGCGCUAGCUUACGUGGAGGCGCUGGUGGGAUACUACCCUAGCUGUGUUGGCUUUCUAACCCGCACCACUUAUCGUGGUGGGAGACAGUGUCAGGCGGGCAGUUUGACUGGGGCGGUCGCCUCCUAAAAGGUAACGGAGGCGCUCAAAGGUUCCCUCAGAAUGGUUGGAAAUCAUUCAUAGAGUGUAAAGGCAUAAGGGAGCUUGACUGCGAGACCUACAAGUCGAGCAGGGUCGAAAGACGGACUUAGUGAUCCGGUGGUUCCGCAUGGAAGGGCCAUCGCUCAACGGAUAAAAGCUACCCCGGGGAUAACAGGCUUAUCUCCCCCAAGAGUUCACAUCGACGGGGAGGUUUGGCACCUCGAUGUCGGCUCAUCGCAUCCUGGGGCUGUAGUCGGUCCCAAGGGUUGGGCUGUUCGCCCAUUAAAUCGGUACGCGAGCUGGGUUCAGAACGUCGUGAGACAGUUCGGUCCCUAUCCGUCGUGGGCGUAGGAAAUUUGAGAGGAGCUGUCCUUAGUACGAGAGGACCGGGAUGGACAUACCUCUGGUGUACCAGUUGUCGUGCCAACGGCAUAGCUGGGUAGCUAUGUGUGGACGGGAUAAGUGCUGAAAGCAUCUAAGCAUGAAGCCCCCCUCAAGAUGAGAUUUCCCAACUUCGGUUAUAAGAUCCCUCAAAUAUGAUGAGGUUAAUAGGUUCGAGGUGGAAGCAUGGUGACAUGUGGAGCUGACGAAUACUAAUCGAUCGAAGACUUAAUCAA
rnacentral:rRNA from 1 species